rnacentral:rRNA from 1 species
UAUUUUAUAUGAGAGUUUGAUCCUGGCUCAGGAUGAACGCCGGCGGUGUGCCUAAUACAUGCAAGUCGUACGCACUGGCCCAACUGAUUGAUGGUGCUUGCACCUGAUUGACGAUGGAUCACCAGUGAGUGGCGGACGGGUGAGUAACACGUAGGUAACCUGCCCCGGAGCGGGGGAUAACAUUU